AAAACACCUACACAGGUGCAUGAAGAAGGAGGCUGGCUGGAAGAGAGAAGCAAGACAUUAUAAAGAGGAAGACUAAUGCUUGUUGACUCACAGAAGGGUUUCUGGGAGCCCAGGCAGUUUCUGAGUUAUCGUGUGCCAGCAGAGCAGACCUAUUCUGUGAUGUUGAAAAGGUCUCCCUUGUACAGUCUCACCACCAAAGAAGAGUGCCAGUUACAAAGGAAAACUGCACCAUCACCCCUGGUCUUUCUCUCUUGGAGCAUCACAAGGACAUAUCAGCUUCCUACUGUUUUGUCAGUAUCUGCAUG